UUAGCGGAGGAAAAGAAACUAACAAGGAUUCCCCUAGUAACGGCGAGUGAACCGGGAAGAGCUCAAAUUUGUAAUCUGGCGUCCUCCGGGCGUCCGAGUUGUAAUCUAUAGAGGCAUUUUCCGCGCCGGACCGCGUCCAAGUCCCUUGGAACAGGGUAUCAAAGAGGGUGACAAUCCCGUGCUUGAUGCGACGACCGGUGCUAUGUGAUAUGUUCUCAACGAGUCGAGUUGUUUGGGAAUGCAGCUCUAAACGGGUGGUAAAUUCCAUCUAAGGCUAAAUAUUGGCGAGAGACCGAUAGCGAACAAGUACCGUGAGGGAAAGAUGAAAAGCACUCUGGAAGGAGAGUUAAACAGUACGUGAAAUUGUUAAAAGGGAAACGAUUGAAGUCAGUCGUGCGGGCAGUAUUCAGCCGUCUCUGGCGGUGUAUUUGCUGUCCGCGGGUCAACAUCAGUUUGGAUCGGUGGAUAAGGUCAGGAGGAAGGUGGCACCCUCGGGUGUGUUAUAGCCUCCUGUCGCAUACACUGGUUCAGACUGAGGAACGCAGCUCGCCCUCACGGGCCGGGGUUCGCCCACGUCCGAGCUUAGGAUGUUGACAUAAUGGCUUUAAACGACCCGUCU
rnacentral:rRNA from 1 species